UACAGAGGUCUCAAGCGUUGUUCGGAUUCAUUGGGCGUAAAGGGCGCGUAGGCGGCGAGGUAAGUCGGGUGUGAAAUCUCAGAGCUCAACUCUGAAACUGCACUCGAUACUGCUUUGCUAGAGGACUGGAGAGGAGACUGGAAUUCAUGGUGUAGCAGUGAAAUGCGUAGAGAUCAUGAGGAAGACCAGUGGCGAAGGCGGGUCUCUGGACAGUUCCUGACACUGAGGCACGAAGGCCAGGGGGAGCAAACGGGG
rnacentral:rRNA from 1 species